rnacentral:piRNA from 1 species
CAGACUAGAUUAUAUUAAAGGCAGGUU